ensembl:lncRNA
UACUGACUCACCCAAGGGCUUUCUCUACUCCCUAUUCCUGGAUGGACUCAAGUUUAGACACUUAUGGCGAUUGACGAAGUGACCCAGUGGACUUCCCUCUUUCGCCUGAACUCCAUGAGGAACCAGAGCUUUGAUACCAGCAGUGGUGCGCCCAUCCGCCUCCUUGGGGAGUGCAGAUGAAUUUGGAAAAGCAUUAAAUCCCUUCAUGACGACAUCAGCAGAAUGGUGACUGGCGGAAAACCCCUUGUGAAACAAGCACUUGAUUGCACUGAACUCCACCCUCACCAAAAUCUUAUAUAUUGACCUUGCCCCGCUACCUCUUUGGAGCAGACUCUCAGAGCUAUCUGAGGUGCUGUCUCCUGGGAUGCAGUGCUCAUUUUGCCCC